rnacentral:tRNA from 1 species
GCCUUUUUAGUUUAGAGGUAGAAUAAAUCUGUGGUAGUGAUUAGAUUUCGGUUCGAUUCCGAAAAAAGGCACCA